rnacentral:rRNA from 1 species
UACGUAGGUGACCAGCGUUGUCCGGAUUUACUGGGCGUAAAGAGCGCGCAGGCGGUCGUUCAAGUCGAGUGUGAAAGCCCCCGGCUCAACUGGGGAGGGUCACUCGAUACUGAUCGACUUGAAGGCAGGAGAGGGAAGCGGAAUUCCCGGUGUAGUGGUGAAAUGCGUAGAGAUCAUGAGGAAGACCAGUGGCGAAGGCGGCUCACUGGCCCGGUACUGACGCUGAGGCACGAAAGCGUGGGGAGCAAACAGG